UAGGGAAUCUUCCGCAAUGGGCGAAAGCCUGACGGAGCAACGCCGCGUGAGUGAUGAAGGUCUUCGGAUCGUAAAACUCUGUUAUUAGGGAAGAACACAUGUGUAAGUAACUAUGCACGUCUUGACGGUACCUAAUCAGAAAGCCACGGCUAACUACGUGCCAGCAGCCGCGGUAAUACGUAGGUGGCAAGCGUUAUCCGGAAUUAUUGGGCGUAAAGCGCGCGUAGGCGGUUUUUUAAGUCUGAUGUGAAAGCCCACGGCUCAACCGUGGAGGGUCAUUGGAAACUGGAAAACUGGAGUGCAGAAGAGGAAAGUGGAAUUCCAUGUGUAGCGGUGAAAUGCGCAGAGAUAUGGAGGAACACCAGUGGCGAAGGCGACUUUCUGGUCUGUAACUGACGCUGAUGUGCGAAUGCGUGGGGAUCAAACAGG
rnacentral:rRNA from 1 species